rnacentral:lncRNA from 1 species
GGGUAAAAAGGUUUUAUGGCAGUGGAACUUGAUAUGAGUAAAGCAUACGAUCGAGUUGAGUGAAAAUUUAUUGAAGAAAUAAUGAUUCGUAUGGGCUUUGCCUACUGGAUUGAGACUAUUAUGAAGUGCAUAAAUUCUGUUACCUAUUCGAUAAUAGUUAAUGGAUUUGAAGGGGAAAAUUUUCAACCGAUGAAGGGGCUGCACCAAAGGGAUCCACUCAGCCCUUUUAUGUUACUUAUAUGUGGGGAAGGCUUAGCUUGUCUAAUAAAUCGUGCAAUGCGUGAAGGGUUGUUGAAAGGUGUAAAAGCUAAGGAGUGGACCGCAGGUGUCGCACUUACUCUUCGCUGAUAACUGCAUUUUAUUUAGUGAAGUAACGAGUAGAGGAGCUAAUAUCUUAAAAGAAAUCCUUAGAAAGUACAAAAUGUGUUAAGGGCAAUGCGCUAAAUUUGACGACAAAUCAGUAGUCCUUUUUAGCAAGAAUACACCUGAUGUUGAUAGAAGAGUGGUGGGUAAUAUAUUGGGAGUACGAAGCUCGGGUGACCUAAAGUGUUACCUAGGAUUACCUAACAUGGUAGGCAAAAAGAAAAGGGAGUCAUUUCAGAUUUUAAAGAGGAUCGAAUUAAGCAACGCAUUGAUCAAUGAAGUACGAGACAUUUAUCACAAGGAGGGAAAGAAGUAUUUAUUAAGUCCAUACUCCUAGCCAUCCCAACUUACUCAAAGGCCUGUUUCCUUUUACCUAAGACAUUGUGCAGUGAGAUUGAGAAUAUUAUUGCCAAGUUUUGGUAGCAGAAGGGCCAUGGAAGAAGGGGUAUACACUGGUGUGCGUGGAGGAACCUUUGUACUUUGAAGGAAAAUAGAGGUAUUGGAUUUCAAAAUAUUAUUCAGUUUAAUAUCGCUAUGUUAGCUAAACAAGGGUGGCGACUCAUUAAUUAUCCAAAUUCCUUACUGGCAAAAGUUCUUAAAGCUAAGUAUUAUCCAAGUUCAGACUUUUUUAAUGCACAGUUGGGAAACUCACCAUCUCUUACCUAGAAGAGUGUCUAGGCUACAAAAGGAUUGUUACGAAGUGGGCUGAGUUGGAGAGUUGGAGAGUUGGAUGGGGAACUGGAAUCUCAGUAUGGAAUGAUCAGUGGGUACCAGGAAUUGAUACGAUUGUUAGGAGCCACGGAAACAACAAUGAAGUCCAAUUAGUUUUAGAUUUAAUUGAUGCAACAAAUAAUAUGUGGAAGAAAGAAUUAGUGCUAAGUACCUUCCCAGUAGACACUGCCCAAAAGAUUUUGCAAAUUCCUCUGGCGGAACUCCUAGGAGUUGAUUUUCAGGUGUGGAAGGGUGAGCUUUCUGGUGAGUUUUCGGUCAGAAGUGCUUACAAACUAUUACAAAUCACUAGCUCGAAUCCUAACGACUGAUUAUUACAAACCGAUUUAAAAAAUUUCUACAAAAAGCUCUGGAAUUUACAGCUCCCCUCAAAGAUUACUAUUAUAGUUUGGAGAGCAUCAUAGAACUAUAUGCCUACUCUAGUUAAUUUGCGAUCUAAACAAAUAGCCGACACUGCUGCUUGUCCUCGAUGUAGAUCUGGGGAGGAAGAUAUAUCUCAUGUCUUUCUGUAUUGUCUUGUAGCAAUAGAAGUUUGGCAAAUGUUAGAUCUUCCUUGGGUUAAUAACUUUUUGGUUCAAAGGUUCUGGGAAUGGCUUACUUGGAUUUUCCAAAAGAGCACUCCCAAACAAGGUCGAUUGAUUUGCUGUGGCAUAUGGGUCCUGUAGGGGUCAAGAAACAAGCUCAUGCAUGAAAGAAAAUUUGUGUCAGGAAGAGAGAUAGCAUCAAAAGUUCAAAGGUAUGUGGCCAAGAUUGAUGGUCUAACAGAAAAAAAGUGUACCUUGUAUACAGCUACGAGGGCCAUUCAAAUCAAAACGAGUUUUGGGAUGACGAUUCACUUUGAUGCUGCCUUUAAUCGAAGGGAUUUCAAAUCGAUGGCAGGCCUGGUGGUUCUAGAUCAUAUGAGAGUAAUCCUUGCUACGAAAACGGUCUUAAAUUCAAAUAUUUCAACUUCUUUUGCAACAGAAGCUUAUGCAGGUCUUCAUGCGAUUAAUCUUGGACUUUCCAUGGGUAUACACUCAGUUACGGUAAAGGGGGACUCACGAACCGUCAUAAAGAAAUGUCAAACAUCGAUGCAAGAUAAGUCAGUUAUAGGAGCAAUAAUCAGUGAUAUUCAAAAAAAGUCAAGAGUUUUUUCAAGAAAUCAGAUUCCAAUUUAUCAAUAGAACCGAGAACGUCUUGGCUCACAAAAUUGCAGAAGAAGCGCUAAGAAGGGGAGAAAAAACACACCUGGAAGGAGAGGUAUUACACCGCCUUUAUGUGCGCUCGGAGGGAAGAUAGAGUAGGCUCCCAAAUUGAGAAUGGCUUUUUGUGAAAGAUGAAAAAGAAUGGAUAGCAUACUAUGGAAGAAACUGAAAAGCUAUCAAAUGCAGCAGAUGGGUGUAUUGGAAAUGAAAGGACAAUUUGUAAAUGGUGUCCAGCUGCAAUCUGAUUCGACUAGUAAUUAGUACCCUAGGUUUCCUAUUUUCGUAGCUUUAAGUAUUCUGCUUUCCA